rnacentral:rRNA from 1 species
UGGGGGAUAUUGCACAAUGGGCGAAAGCCUGAUGCAGCGACGCCGCGUGGGGGAUGAAGGCUUUCGGGUUGUAAACCUCUUUCGCUAUCGAACAAGGCCCGCUUAGGGUGGGGUGAGGGUAGGUGGAGAAGAAGCGCCGGCUAACUACGUGCAAGCAGCCGCGGUAAUACGUAGGGCGCGAGCGUUGUCCGGAAUUAUUGGGCGUAAAGGGCUUGUAGGCGGCUUGUUGCGCCUGCUGUGAAAACGCGGGGCUUAACUUCGCGCGUGCAGUGGGUACGGGCAGGCUUGAGUGUGGUAUGGGUGACUGGAAUUCCAGGUGUAGCGGUGGAAUGCGCAGAUAUCUGGAGGAACUCCGAUGGCGAAGGCAGGUCACUGGGCCAUUACUGACGCUGAGGAGCGAAAGCAUGGGUAGCGAACAGG